rnacentral:rRNA from 1 species
GCAAGUCGAGCGCACCUUCGGGUGAGCGGCAGACGGGUGAGUAACGCGUGGGAAUCUACCCAUCUCUACGGAACAACAGUUGGAAACGACUGCUAAUACCGUAUACGCCCUUCGGGGGAAAGAUUUAUCGGAGAUGGAUGAGCCCGCGUUGGAUUAGCUAGUUGGUGGGGUAAAGGCCUACCAAGGCGACGAUCCAUAGCUGGUCUGAGAGGAUGAUC